CAUCUGCCCCGUCAGGACUUUCGCCACAAAUGCCACUAUAUACUGUAGGGAGAGAUAGGGGGGAUGGGGAUCAGGGGUUAGAGGGGAGAGAGGUUUGAUGUCACAUAUUCAGUCCAGUUUAUUUUGAAUGUAUCAACCCCUGACAGAGGGAUUAAACAUAUUAGGCUAAUACGAAUGGAGAAGACCAGGUAAUAGUCAUAAAACUGUCAAGACGUUAUUUACUUAUUGGGAACACAUAUCUGUGAGUGGUUGCCCUCUCUGAAUUAGAUUAGUCUUGUUUUACCUAAAGUCUGACUAAUGAGGUAGCUACCGUAUGUGUGCACACCACUGUGAGAUUUGUGACCUGCUGCAGACGGAGGUCCAACACUCACCAAAAACCAGUAGAUAUUCAUGCAGAGGAGUGUCAAGAGGAGUGAAUUGAAGAAGAAGUAGAAGGGUAUGUUUGGGACGGACUGGAGGCUGGACACACAGGUGGCGUACAGAACCUUCAGAGGAAACCAGUAGAGACGAAACCAAAACCUGCACAGCGGAACAGUGUUAUUCAGACGAUUUAGGGUAGAAAGAUUACCAUUGUCUAGGGUUUCAAACACCCUUGUUAUCUCUCAGGACGUGUGUGUGUGCGCGUGCCUGCCUGCCUGCCUGCGUGCCUGCGUGCGCGCGUGUGUGUACCCAGGCAUGCAGGCGUGUGUGCUUGUUAGUUAUGGGGAAAGCUACUCUGAACAUAUAGUUACCAAGCAAGGGCUCUACAGUGCAACCAUUUUACUCACAUAUGCGACUAAAUAUUUUGCUGUGCGACCUGGAUUUCUUUAUUUAGGAGUAGCAGUGCACCUAGAAAAAAAUGACCCAGAUGAUAAUUAUUGCAAUGAUUACUUCAUUGUACAACAGCCCCUGAGUGUCAUGGAGAAUACACUGAACGCAGAUUCAUGAUUUCAUGCUUGUACCAUUACUACAAAGAAAACGUCUUGUUACUGCAAAUAGAGAGCCCUGCAAUCUACCAAUUAAUUCCCACUGGAAGAAGUUACAUUACGCUAAAGUUACCCUUAAGGAAAAUAUAGUUUACUAUACUAAACUAUUUUGAAAAAGUAAUUCUGUGAAGGAAAUUUUACUUUGUACAUCUUGUCUUUGGUGUCAUAAACAGUCCUUGGUUCCUGCCUGUGCAUGGUAAAGAUAUGAGGGGGGGGUCAUGACCUCCUCCUUUAGACUAUUUGGCAGAACACCCAGAAUAUGUUCUUUAAGUUACGAUAGGAGACGGUGCCAGACACAUGCCGGAACCAACCCUAUGAACAAUGCCUAUGUAACGUGUCUGUAACCAGAAUAUAAGGGAACUAAAUGGGACUGCCCUGUUUGAGCUCUUGACAGACAUUCACUAUGGUGCAUCAAGUUUGUUGGAAUCUCUCCAGUUAACUGUUAAUAAAGAAUGAUUCACUUAAGAUUGACUUCGACUGUCCCUGAAGCCAACUUGGCAUCAGGGACAACUUGAUUCUGCCUGUGGAGCUUUCCAGUGGUGGUCUGCAAGGAAAACCGUCGCGCAUUUUAUGACGCAUGAGGGAAAUUCCCGACUGACCAAAAGACGACAAGACCCGCCCAGACCAGACCCUUACUGUGAGGUCCCCAGGAGGAGACACAUAUUCUGUUAACAAAUGAGGGACGGCAACUGAUUUUAGUUAUGGCGAAGGUGACCACAGAUGGUUUCUAGAUGCACGGAAGGGAUAAUUUGACUGAGAACAGUGUGAACCUCAACCACCCCUAACCAGCUGAAGCAAUGACGACAAUUGCGUUUAGUAUGGUAAUUCACCACUUCUACCGUGAGACCUGAGUCCGAGCCAGCAACCUUUACACAGCAUCCAGUCGAAGCUAUCAACUGCCUUUUCUCUCAUGCCUUUUCUCUUAGGAGUGAGACAUGAGUCCACGUGGAGUGAGCAUGGAGAGAGAUCCUGUCCAAACUUUCUGGUGUACUGGUAGGAAAAUGGGCAAGACAUAAUGGACUGUAAAGGACAGUGGCGGCUCAGGAGAGAGACAUUAUCAAGGACCAUCCACUUUGAACAUGUGCCAUUGGGAGGACGAACUGAAACACCAUCUGAAGAAGCACAUAAAGAAACGCCAGAAGGAUGAGUACCGGGAGGGAAGGGGUGGUCAACCAUGCCCGUAAUUGAUUUAGGCAUAUCCAAAAUUGGUUAUUUAGGGUAUCAGGGUUGAUUGUGGAGGUCUGCACACUGCGAAAUUUAUAUUCAUUUAGGCUAAGAAUGCAUUGAGAUACCAAUCUGUCAUUACCACAAAUGGGGGCCGGAAUGAGAAAAGUUAAUGCUAGAACUAUAAAAUGAAGAUACUCUAUGUCAAUGUAAAUGUACUGUCUGCCAGUAUCGGUGUGUACUAAAUUGAGGGUCUAAAAUUAAAGUGAUAGAACCAACGUGAAAGCUGUUCAUUGACUACAGCUCAGCAUUCAACACCAUAGAGCCCAAAAAGCUCAUCACUAAGCUAAGGACCCUGUGACUAAACACCUCCCUCUGCAAUUGGAUCCUGGACUUCCUGACGGGCCGCCCCCAGGUGGUAAGGGUAGGCAACAACACAUCUGCCACGCUGAUCCUCAACACUGGGGCCCCUCAGGGAUGCGUGCUUAGUCUCCUCCUGUACACCCUGUUCACCCACGACUGCGUGGCCAAGCAUGACUCCAACACCAUCAUUAAGUUUGCUGAUGACACAACAGUGGUAGGCCUGAUCACCAACAACGAUGAGACAGCCUUUAGGGAGGAGGUCAGAGACCUGGCUGUGUGGUGCCUGGACAACAACCUCUCUCUCUCUCUCUCUCUCUCUCAAUGUGAGCAAGACAAAGGAGCUGAUUGUGGACUAUAGGAAAAGUAGGGGCAAACAGGCACCAAUUAACAUCAACGGGACUGAGGUGGAGUGGGUAGAGAGUUUCAAGUUCCUUGGUGUCCAGAUCACCAACAAACUACUAUGGUCCAAACACACCAAGACAGUUGUGAAGAGGGCACGGAAACACCUUUUCCCCCUCAGGAGACUGAAAAGAUUUGGAAUGGGUCCCUAGAUCCUCAAAAGGUUGUACAACUGCACCAUCGAGAGCAUCCUAACUGGUUGCUUUACUGCCUGGUAUGGCAACUGCUCGGCAUCUGACCGUAAGGCGCUACAGAGGGUAGUGCGUAUGGCCCAGUACAUCACUGGGGCCAAGCUUCCUGACAUCCAGGACCUAUAUACUAGGCGGUGUCAGAGGAAGGUCCCAAAAAUUGUCAAAGACUCCAGUCACACAAGUCAUAGACUGUUCUCUCUGCUACCGCACGGCAAGUGGUACCGGUGAAACUGUUGUGAAACUGUUAUAACAUGUGUUCUCUCUCUUCCCUGUGAAAGUCAAUAUGUAUGUAUGUGCCCAAGACCAAAUUUGGGAGAUCUCUGGAGAUGUACAGAAAAUUGGAAAUGCUAAAAGAAUUGCGUAAAUUGUCUCUGCGUAACAAAGAGGCUCUUGAUUAACUUUUGGCAGGUCAAGGGGGCACCUGUGCAAUCAUUGGCGUUGAAUGUUGUACUUUGUCCCAGAUCACUCUUCUAACAUGACUGAUCUCGCCAAAUACACUACCACUGUUGCUAAGAAUAAUUCCCCACAACCAGAGUGGACGUCUGCAACUUGGUUGGAAUCCCUGUUUGGAAGUUGCGGAUCCCAAAUUGGCUGCAGCGUGUUUUUUUUCUUAGUUUGUCUAAAUUGUGUAUGUGUGUGUAUUUUUGAUAAAUUCACUCCCGUUAAUAGAAGUAUAACCUUUAUUAUGAUGAUCUACUAAUACCAAUUGGAUUGUACAACCCUGAAUAAAGGGCUUGAAAUUA